UCACAGUCUCUGAAAUUAUGUUCCCCAGC
rnacentral:piRNA from 1 species